rnacentral:rRNA from 1 species
AUACGGAGGGUGCGAGCGUUAAUCGGAAUUACUGGGCGUAAAGCGCGCGUAGGCGGAUAAUUAAGUCAGAUGUGAAAUCCCCGGGCUCAACCUGGGAACUGCAUUUGAUACUGAUUAACUAGAGUAUGCUAGAGGUGAGUGGAAUUUCCGGUGUAGCGGUGAAAUGCGUAGAGAUCGGAAGGAACACCAGUGGCGAAGGCGACUCACUGGGCCAUUACUGACGCUGGGGUGCGAAAGCGUGGGUAGCAAACAGAAUUAGAUACCCUAGUAGUCC